AAGCUUUGUGAUCGACUCGUACGUGUAUUAAUCUGAUUGGUUUUAUUUAUGAUAUAAAACAAUGUUUUUUUUUUCUUUUUUUCCCUUCUUUCUCUUUCUUCUCCCCAUCUCUUUCUCUUCACUUCCCAAAAGCCGUGGAAUUUGCGAUUAACAAUCUCCGUUCUUUGCACUUUUUGAUUAAACAAUAUUCAGUCGGGAUAAUGAUUAAGCAAUCAGAACAACACAUCAAAGGCAUGAUUUUAAUUAGGAUUAACGAAAUUAGCCAUGAAUGAAGAUGAAUUUCGGCAGAAAUUGUAUUUUCCAUCGAUUUUGUCCAUUAGUUGAUUUCGUGGAUCUUGAGCUGUGGAAAUGAGAAUGUAUGGUUUUAGUGUUGAUCUGUGGUAGGUUAGUUGUGCAGAAUUGCUUAUGGUUAGGACUUGUUGUUGGAAUCCAACCAUCGAUUAAUCUUCAAAUUGGUAAAUAUGUGAAGAGAUGGACAGCAAAGAGACGCAUCGGAGAAGACGAAGACGUUGUUGCGUUUGUGUCGUAGAAGAAGAAGAAGUAACGCAAAAGGAGAAAUGUUAUUGGGCCUGUUUAAUUGUUUAAGCCCAAUGACAAAUGACUCAUUAAGAAGUAGGUCUAAGAUUAGAAGUUUAAUAUAAAUAUGUAAUGUUGGAGACAUAAGUAAAGUAAGAAGAAAGAGAUUAAAAGACGCUAAACCUAAAAGUCGAAUACUUGUUUUA